rnacentral:rRNA from 1 species
GCAGCCUGAUGCAGCGACGCCGCGUGCGGGAUGGAGGCCUUCGGGUUGUAAACCGCUUUUGUUCAAGGGCAAGGCGGGUCUUCGGGCCCGUUGAGUGGAUUGUUCGAAUAAGCACCGGCUAACUACGUGCCAGCAGCCGCGGUAAUAA